GAGAUUCAUCCUACAGUGAAACCCAAUGUAAUCAGGUCAACACCAAGCCUUCAAAGUCCAAGUGCGAAACGACUCCUUGCACCCUCCAAUCACUCUUCACUAAGUAUUUUGGGAAAAAGAAACUACAGCCAUCAUAAUGGUCUUGAUGAAUCGUCCAGCCAUACAACAAGAACAAUAAUGCAUGCUGCUCCCCAUGUUCAUAUGACUAAUGGUAAGGCCUUGCAAGCCAGUGCAAGUGCCGUUAAGACAAGCACCAUUCCAGUGAUCAAGAGACAGAGGCAAAAUUGGCUUGAUGCUUCAGAUGAUGGUUUCUUUAUAGCUACAGAAGAGACCAGUGCUGAAGCAGUUAGAAACCUUCUCACGAAAAAUCCGUAAGAAGUUCACC